CAGUGGUUGCUAGGGGCGCUCGGAGCUGAAGGCGUGUGGUGAGAGUUUACUUUUUAAGAGCUGUUGUGAACCGGUGCCAAGAUUGUCUACUGGGGAAUUUUAUGGCGAGCCAGACUGUCUGAACCCUGGUUUAAUGGGUCCCUAUCAGAGAGCGUUUGUCCCAGGCUCUCCUCGCUUCCCACCCGCCCGGCUGUUAGCUGUAUUCCCCGCUCUUCCGGCUUCGACGCACACUUCCUCCAGGUGCUGUGACUGCCUCCAGGACUGAACUUGGGAAAUAAUGGGAUGCGUCUGAACCGGUGCUGUGAGCGAGUCCAUUCACUUUAGCCCACCCCUCCCAUGGCUCGUUUGCUGAGAAAAGUUGCCCAAGAUAACCUGAAGCGAGUUAAAGCAGUGGUGAUGUAGCUGGUACUACUGUACUUUUCAAGGAGACACAGGUUCGAUCCCUGGUCUGGGAAGAUUCCACACGCCACAGGGCAACUAAGCCUCCAUGCUGCAACUACUGAACCUGUGCUUUAGAGCCCAUGAGCCGCAACUCCCAAGCCCACAUGCCACUACUGAAGCCUGCACACCCUAGAGCCUGCCUCUGCAGCAAGAGAAGCCACCACAGUGAGAAGCCCGUGCACCACAACUAGAGGCUAGCCCUGGUUUGUCACAACUAGAGAAAGGCUGCGUGCAGCAACAAAGACCCAGUGUAGCCAGAAAAAAUUCUAAAAAUUUAUCAGUGUAAUCUACCAUACUUGUCAUAAUUGUCCAAAGAAGAAAAAAUAUAUGAUCAUUAUCAACUGAUACAGAAAAAGCAUGUGAUAAAAUUCAACAUCCAUCCAUGAUUUAAAACUUUCAGCAAACUGGAAAUAGAAAAAAACUUACACAAGCUAAUAAGGGCAUUUAUAAAAAAUAUAGAGUUAACAUCACAUGAAAUGGUGAAAAGCUGGAUACUUUGUCCUAUUGUCAGGAACAAGGCAAUGAUGUCCAUUGUCACCAGUCCUAUUUAACAUCAUGUUGGAAGUCCUAGCCAGUGCAGUAGGACAAGGAAAAUAAAUAAAAGGCAUACAGUUUAUAAAGGAAGAAAUAAAACUUUCUCUAUUUGCAGAUGAUAUAACUGUUUACGUAGAAAAUCCCAA